rnacentral:rRNA from 1 species
GACAGAGGUGGCAAGCGUUGCUCGGAUUCACUGGGCUUAAAGGGCGCGUAGGCGGCUUUGUAAGUCCGAGGUGGAAUUCCACAGCUUAACUGUGGAACUGCCUUGGAAACUGCAAGGCUUGAGUCAGGUAGAGGGAGGCGGAAUUCCCGGUGUAGCGGUGAAAUGCGUAGAUAUCGGGAGGAAGGCCGGUGGCGAAGGCGGCCUCCUGGGCCUGUACUGACGCUCAUGCACGAAAGCGUGGGGAGCAAACAGG